CUGGGCUCUGCAACCUCGGACAGCUCCCCUGCCUCAGUUGCUUCGUUUGCCAAGUGGCAAUGGCAGUGAUUAGCGUCCCGCCACAGACCUCGGUGGCUAGAGUGGCGUGAGACAGCCACGUGGCCCAAGAUCGGUGAAGGGGGUUGAUCUGGGCUCUGUCGGGCGCCUGGCUUCCAGGAGCCCAAAGGCCGUGUCCCCGGAGGGCCCUCCCCGGCACCCCCGUGGUCAGCCUGGACUCCCGACCUGUGCCUGGCCCAGUCUAGGGAUGGCCCGCCCCAGUGGGGCAUCUUCUCCGGGGACCGAGGAGAGGGAGGGCCCCCUGGGUCCUGGCGCUCGCUCGGGGUGGCCGAGGACGCGUCCUGGAGAAAGAGGCCGAGAGGGUUUCAAGCGGAGCCUGAGCCGAGCGCGGAGCCGGAAGCGCGCGCGAGGUCCCUGAGCCCCAGUCGAGCCCGAAGGCGCCUGCGCCGUUAGGGCGCCCUCAAGGAAAGCGAGAAGGCCCGACCCCGACCCCAGCCGGUGCACCCUGCCUCGCUCUCCGCUCACCACCCCUAGAGCGCUCCGGACUCGUGGUGGGGCUCGUGCCUGGCGGGGCGGGGGAGGCGGUGCCGAGGUAGCACUGGAGAGGCGGGGGCUCCUCCGGAAGGAAGUCGCAGCCGGGAGCCCUCCCAGUCUUGGCCUGCGCAGCCCCGGCUCGUUCCCCAGGUGUGGGGCAUCCCCGGCCAGCCUGGUGACGCUCAGCCACCUUCCAGUGGCUCCAGACGGGCAUCGAAACCCAGUCCACCUGCAGGCCGGUGGGAGGAGGCACAGGUCCUACUUCACCUUCAUCCCACCUGCUCCUCCUCUGCCUCAGAGCCCGCCAAAGCACAGCCACCACAGAUCAGACUGCAACUCCGCUGUGGCACAGCCUCCCUG
rnacentral:lncRNA from 1 species